CCUACGGGGGGCAGCAGUGGGGAAUAUUGCGCAAUGGGCGAAAGCCUGACGCAGCGACGCCGCGUGAGGGAUGAAGGGCUUCGGUUCGUAAACCUCUGUCAGAAGGGAAGAAGUUACGUGGUGCUAAUCAGCCGCGUAUUGACGGUACCUUCAAAGGAAGCACCGGCUAACUCCGUGCCAGCAGCCGCGGUAAUACGGAGGGUGCAAGCGUUAAUCGGAAUCACUGGGCGUAAAGCGCAUGUAGGCCGCUGCGUAAGUCAGAAGUGAAAGCCCACGGCUCACCCGUGGAACUGCUUUUGACACUGCGUGGCUUGAGUCUGUGAGAGGGUAGUGGAAUUCCAGGUGUAGGGGUGAAAUCCGUAGAGAUCUGGAGGAACAUCAGUGGCGAAGGCGACUACCUGGUGCAGUACUGACGCUGAGAUGCGAAAGCGUGGGGAUCAAACAGGAUUAGAUACCCCUGUAGUC
rnacentral:rRNA from 1 species